rnacentral:tRNA from 1 species
UUUCAAUUUGGCAGAAAAAAUGCAGAAAAUUUAGAAUUUUCUUAUGAUGUAUAUAAUCAAUUGAAAA